rnacentral:piRNA from 1 species
CCAGUCAUGUCAGCCACUAGUAGGAUUC